UUUCCGUAGGUGAACCUGCGGAAGGAUCAUUGUCGAAUCCUGCAAUAGCAGAAUGACCCGCUAACACGUCAACAAUUUGGGCAAGCGUCGGGGGGCCUCGGUCUCCUGUCUGCGAAUCCCUGGUAGGUGGUCACUCUCGGGUGGCCACUGGCCUACAAAAUCAUUUGGGCGCGGAAUGCGCCAAGGACCUUAAAACUGAAUUGUACGUCCGUAUCCCGUUAGCGGGCAGCGGCGUCAUUCCAAAACACGACUCUCGACAACGGAUAUCUCGGCUCUC
rnacentral:misc_RNA from 1 species